GACGAACGCUGGCGGCGUGCCUAAUACAUGCAAGUUGAGCGAUGAAGAUUGGUGCUUGCCCCAAUUUGAAGAGCAGCGAACGGGUGAGUAACGCGUGGGGAAUCUGCCUUUGAGCGGGGGACAACAUUUGGAAACGAAUGCUAAUACCGCAUAACAACUUUAAACAUAAGUUUUAAGUUUGAAAGAUGCAAUUGCAUCACUCAAAGAUGAUCCCGCGUUGUAUUAGCUAGUUGGUGAGGUAAAGGCUCACCAAGGCGAUGAUACAUAGCCGACCUGAGAGGGUGAUCGGCCACAAUGGGACUGAGACACGGCCCAAACGCCUACGGGAGGCAGCAGUAGGGAAUCUUCGGCAAGGGACGAAAGUCUGACCGAGCAACGCCGCGGGAGUGAAGAAGGGUUUCGGAUCGUAAAACUCUGUUGGUAGAGAAGAACGUUGGUGAGAGUGGAAAGCUCAUCAAGUGACGGUAACUACCCAGAAAGGGGCGGCUAACUACGUG
rnacentral:rRNA from 1 species